GUCUGGAACCUCCAUGAUAGGGGGAUGGAUGGUUGAUCAGAGAGCAUACAUUUUACAAACGAUGUAUAUCAACUGAUCCACAGUCCUUCCCUGUCCCUUGACUUCCAGGAGGGA
rnacentral:precursor_RNA from 15 species